CACUGAACUUAAAAUUUGUUGUUGUAACUACUUUAUAUUAUUAUUUACUAUUUUACCCCUUUUAAUAUAUUUUUCAUUCCAUUCGCUCGUUGUUUUUUAUUUCACUCCACCACGCUUGACAAAUAGCUGAGAUGAUUUAUUUUGAUCGAUUUAGCCAUGCGGCAACACAGAUCCAACUGAACAAAAGCUAUUGAACGAAUUUUUUUUGUCUGCAAAAUGUCAAUCUUUGAUUUAUAAAAAUAAACAAGUGAAAUAUGAUGUAGUGUUCAAAUUUUUUUUUAGAAAACUGCUAAAAAUGGUGAGCAUAAGAAAAUCUGUAUGCAUUGAGUCUUUGCUGAACAUACGAAUGUUUAAGUAACGCAGAGAAUCUUUAGUUUUAAAGAAAAAUUUAAAACAACUGUUCAGUACAACUAAGGUCAAAUAUAAAAUAAAUAGAAUAAAAAUUAACUGCAUAAGAAAACCUUUAUUUUUAGUCAUUUUCACUAGUCAUUGAGCCUUAUUCUAGUUGUCGAAGUAGAGCGACAAUUGUCGUCACGACUUGAAUUUGAUAUUCUAAAUGGCGAUUACAGUGACACGUGUCGUGGAAUAGCGGGAAAAUGUGUUUCAGGUAUAUUCCAGUUGUCGUUGUAGAGCGACACAUGUCGUAGUGAAACGACGUUUUUUGUCGAAAUGUAUUUAACAAGUGACAAGCGAGAUGGAUACACCAAAAAUUAACAACAAGGAAGCAAUUUGAAGAAUUGGGAAAUUUUAUGACGGAGAACGCCUUUAUUGCGAAAGGCCUUAAAUUUGCUGAGAAUAGCUGCAUAAGCAAAUGCGAGUUUGAUGCGAAAUGGAACCAGCUAACAGAAAAGCUUAAUAGCUUGGGUCCGCCCAUUAGAAGUACUGCAGGAUGGCAGAAGGUAAUUUUCAAUAAAGGAAUCAUGAGAUGAUCCCGGAUUAUUAGCAUCCACAUACCUGGUGCGCAUUUUAUGAUCGCAAACCUUUAAGUCACAUUAUAUUAAAAUAUUAAAAUUGUUGUUUUUUUUUUCAAUUUCAUUACUCUCGGAGUCUGAUGAAUCCAUAAACCAUAAUGCAAAUGACGACAUUUUUUAUUUCCCUCGGAUUAAAAAUAUAAAUAUAUACACCGAAUUUUUUUUUUUAGUUUGAACUUUACUCGCCAAAAUUUCUUUUUAAAAUGUAUCAAUUUCACUUGAAACGUUUCAUUUUCGUUUAUUUCUCGCAGUCACGUCACUCGACAACUAGAAUACCACAUUUCAAGUGAUGUGACAGCGACAACGACAAAUGUCACGUAAGUGACGCGACAACUAGAAUAAGGCUCAUUACUUAUCUUAAAUUUUAAAUUUUUUUUAAAUUUCCGUAAUUAGGUGGAUCAAAGACAAAUUUUACAAAAUCUGAGUUGUCUGAGUUUACGGAUACUCUACUAGGUUUUUACUCUCAGUCAAAGUUUAAAUUCUUAAACGUUUAAAAAAAGUCAAUUAAGCGUCAAAAUUGUAGAUUUUUUUUUUUACAUGCAGACAGUCUGACGUAGUAAUUCAGUAAAUAAAUUUGAUGUGUUGAGUGACUAUCAUUACGUUAAAAAUAAUAUAAAAAAUAUUUUUAUUGUUAAUUUUUAAUAUGUAAGUAUAAAAUUAUUUUAAAUCUAAAAAAUUUUUUUUGUUUUGACGUUUACGGAUGAUCAAAAUUCAAAGUCAAUUACGGGUAAAAAGUUUACUAGAUUUCUGUCCGUAAAAGUUUUAGUUUCAGACAGUUUGCAGACUAAAAUCAAAAUUUUGACGUUAAAGAAUUUGCGGAAAAUAGACAUCAACACAGUUAUGAAAAUUACUUCUAGUCACAAAAAAUUAAUUUUUAUUUGCCUAGUUUUGAGGUUUCUUUACUUAAACCUUUUGAAUGCACUUUUUUUAGGGACGUUUAGUCUAUACAUGUACCCAUUUUGACUCUUGUCCUUAAAUUUGCACAAAAAAGGGCAUACAUUUUUAUUUUUUAAUAUUUCCGUAAUAAAAACAAUUACAGUUUCUUAUAUUUUCAAAUUUUUCGCAUUCGCUUUUGACUAACUAAUUAGAUAAUUUAUUAUGGAUCUCAUUUUUAAAAUAUUGCCCAACCCAAUAAAAAACUGAGUUUUAUUGUAAACUUUACUUUUUAAAUAUGUAGUUUGAUUCCAAUUUUUUUCAUGUUAUUUCAGAGAUUUUUGUUAGGUAAUGCAAC